GGAGGAUCCUAUUGAA
rnacentral:rRNA from 1 species